rnacentral:rRNA from 1 species
UACGUAGGGUCCGAGCGUUGUCCGGAAUUACUGGGCGUAAAGAGCUCGUAGGUGGUUUGUCACGUUGUUCGUGAAAACCCACAGCUCAACUGUGGGCGUGCGAGCGAUACGGGCAGACUAGAGUACUGCAGGGGAGACUGGAAGUUCCUGGUGUAGCGGUGGAAUGCGCAGAUAUCAGGAGGAACACCGGUGGCGAAGGCAGGGUCUCUGGGCAGUAACUGACGCUGAGGAGCGAAAGCGUGGGGAGCAAACAGG